rnacentral:rRNA from 1 species
CCUGCAUGAAGUCGGAAUUGCUAGUAAUCGCGGAUCAGCAUGCCGCGGUGAAUACGUUCUCGGGCCUUGUACACACCGCCCGUCACACCAUGGGAGUCGGUAACACCCGAAGUCUGUAGCCUGACGCAAGAGGGCGCAGCCGAAGGUGGGAUUGAUNACUGGGGUGAAGUCGUAACAAGGUACC